UACGUAGGGUGCGAGCGUUAAUCGGAAUUACUGGGCGUAAAGUGUGCGCAGGCGGUCGUUCAAGUCGAGUGUGAAAGCCCCCGGCUCAACUGGGGAGGGUCAUUCGAUACUGAUCGACUCGAAGGCAGGAGAGGGUAGUGGAAUUCCCGGUGUAGUGGUGAAAUGCGUAGAUAUCGGGAGGAACACCAGUGGCGAAGGCGACUACCUGGCCUGUUCUUGACGCUGAGGCGCGAAAGCUAGGGGAGCAAACGGGG
rnacentral:rRNA from 1 species